rnacentral:tRNA from 1 species
GGAGGGUACAGCUCAGGGGUAGGGCACGUGCUUAGCAUGCACGAGGUCCUGGGUUCAGUCCCCAGUUUCUCCA